rnacentral:rRNA from 1 species
UGAGGGAUAUUAGGCAAUGGGGGGAAACCCUGACCUAGCAACGCCGCGUGAAGGAUGAAGGUUUUCGGAUUGUAAACUUCUUUUGACGAGGGACGAUAAUGACGGUACCUCGAAAACAAGCCACGGCUAACUACGUGCCAGCAGCCGCGGUAAUACGUAGGUGGCGAGCGUUGUCCGGAUUUACUGGGUGUAAAGGGCGUGUAGGCGGAUAAGCAAGUCAGAUGUGAAAUGCAGAGGCUUAACCUCUGAGCUGCAUUUGAAACUGCAUAUCUUGAGUGAUGGAGAGGUAAGCGGAAUUCCCGGUG